rnacentral:rRNA from 1 species
UACGUAGGAGGCUAGCGUUGUCCGGAAUCAUUGGGCGUAAAGAGCGCGUAGGCGGCCAGAUAAGUCCGGUGUGAAAGUCAAAGGCUCAACCUUUGAAUGCCGCUGGAAACUGUCUGGCUAGAGUCCGGGAGGGGCGAGUGGAAUUCCUGGUGUAGCGGUGAAAUGCGCAGAUAUCAGGAGGAACACCAAUGGCGAAGGCAGCUCGCUGGAACGGUACUGACGCUGAGGCGCGAAAGCGUGGGGAGCAAACAGG